GGGGCUGUAGCUCAGUUGGGAGAGCGCUUCAAUGGCAUUGAAGAGGUCAGGAGUUCGAGCCUCCUCAGCUCCACCA
rnacentral:tRNA from 3 species